UACGGGGGGGGCAAGCGUUGUUCGGAAUUACUGGGCGUAAAGGGCGCGUAGGCGGUUCGUCACGUCGGGAGUGAAAACUCGGAGCUUAACUCCGAGCCUGCUUCCGAUACGGGCAGACUAGAGGUAGGCAGGGGAGAGCGGAACUCCUGGUGUAGCGGUGGAAUGCGCAGAUAUCAGGAAGAACACCGGUGGCGAAAGCGGCUCUCUGGGCCUUACCUGACGCUGAGGAGCGAAAGCGUGGGUAGCGAACAGG
rnacentral:rRNA from 1 species